rnacentral:rRNA from 1 species
AGUGAACGCUGGCGGUAGGCCUAACACAUGCAAGUCGAACGGCAGCACAGUAAGUGCUUGCUCUUACGGGUGGCGACUGGCGGACGGGUGAUGGAUACAUCGGAAUCUACUUUUUCGUGGGGGAGAACGUAGGGAAUCUUACGCUAUUACCGCAUACGACCUACGGGUGAGAGCAUCGGACCUUCGGACCUUGCGCGAUUGAAUGAGCCGAUGGCGGGUAGCUAGUUGGCGGGGUAAAGGCCCACCAAGGCGACGAUCCGUAGCUGGUCUGAGAGGAUGAUCAGCCACACUGGAACUGAGACACGGUCCAGACUCCUACGGGAGGCAGCAGUGGGGAAUAUUGGACAAAGGGCGAAAGCCUGAUCCAGCCAUACCGCGUGGGUGAAGAAGGCCUUCGGGUUGUAAAGCCCUUUUGUUGGGGAAGAAGAGCAGCAAGUUAAUACCCCGCUGUUCUGACGGUACCAAAAGAAUAAGCACCGGCUAACUUCGUG